UUAAUGUGUGUUAAUGUGUGUUUGUGUGUGUGUGUGUGUGUGUGUGUGUGUGUGUUAGAUAGAUAGACGGAGCAGCACCUAUAGACGACCGACCCGACAGAGUGACCGUGUCCGACUCUUAGAUCAUCACUCACCGAACACACACACGUCUAGACAGACCAUCUGACCAAUGCACAUGUAUACUGUACACACACACAAACACACACACACACACACACACACACACAGAUGGCCAGACAGAGCAUGUGGCAAAAACACUUAAAAAUAUUGAAGCUUUCAUGAAAACUAACAGAAAGUUUGAAGUCUGCAGGUCUGCUGUAAACUCUGAAGGACGCUCAUGUGAUCAUGUACCGGUCCGACAACACCUUUAAAGCUCCUAUAAGGGAUUUUACUCAGAUAUGAAACUGAUUUAAAGGGAGCUGAUGACUUUUAUGAGCAGGAACAUGUUUGGACCUUUUUCACCUCAAAGCUUCGCACUGAGCGGGUCCGGGAUCCAAAGAUCUACAUGCAGUUUAAAUAAAUGGAUGUUUUGCAUCAGUCCGACUGAAACUGGACUUUAAAAAACCCUGAACACGUUAGUCCAGCUGAGAUCAGUACGAGGAGGGACCAGAAAACAGUGUUUCGGUGGAGUACAGCAGAUGGUGUCAGUAUUACUGAUCAAUAUUAAAGGUGGGGUCGGGGUCAGGCGUGCUACAAUAUCGGACAGUAGAAACCAACCAGAAAGUUCGGAAAAUUGUCUGAAUCCUCCUUUGGCCACGACUGCCGACACAAGCAAGAAAACAAAGUAAAUACCGGAGACUCUGGAGGAAUAACGGGCGCUUAAAACGGAGGUAGACCGGACAAGAGCUAAAAAGCCGGGUCAACAUAAACCAUGGGGGACGCUUGGGGGUCUUGGUGACCCUGUAACCUUUCUGCUGGACAGGUAAACCGCUUUAACAAAGUAAGACAAGUGUCUGUAACAGAAGUGUUUCUUGUCAAACGGACCUGCUGUAGCGUGUUGUAGCGCCAUCGCUAAACUGUCCUCCCUCGGGUCCUGGACUAUGUCACUUUAUCCUCGUUGUAGAAGUCCUGCAAACAUUGUGUUUGCUGGUAGUCUGUUGGCAUCUACAGUAGCACCAAUGCUUUUGACUUUCACCUUGACUGGGCCCCAUUUGUAAUGAUCUGAAGGAUUUAUCUGCAUUAUAUCUGAAUUUAACUGGAACGAUACGAGCGAGCAGGAGCGUCUGUUUGUGGGCGGGGCUUGAGGGGAGAGGAGGAGCUGAGGGGAAAACUGGUUGGGAGGGGUAGAGUUUACAUUCAAGAUUUCUACUAAAAACUGGAACUUCAUCAGAUCCUGACUACAACACCUUUAACUAAGAUUGUCACCGAUAGACUCCAAGUCUUCCUCUAAACCAGCACACACUCUAACUUCUGACUUCUCAUUGAACCUGAACCCCUCCAAAAUAAAAGCCCCGGCCUCGCUCGUCCCUCUCUCGGAGUAAAAUCAUGAGCUCCAACCUGCAGAACAUUAAACUCCUCUCAGCCACAUUCCUGCCGCUCUGUACAUUCCUCUGCAGGUUAACAGAUCCCAGACCAGCCUGGACAUGCGGGAGCUGCAGAGCUGAUUUAUGACAUUUACUAUCUGACAUUUACAGCCGAGAAACAGAGGCAGGAAGGAGGGCGAGCGAUGGCUUUGGUGUUUAUUUUAGCAUUGACUGUGGAGAGAGAGAGAGAGAGAGAGAGAGAGGAGAGUCCGUGAAAAAUAUCCCUGCUGGUUCACUCACUCAAAUUUCUCCAUCGCAGUUAAAAACGUUUAUUUUAGCAGACUGUGUCCCGCUGCUUUAAAACCUGGAUUACCUUUUAAAGACACGAAUUAUCGUGUAAUUCAACGUCCAGGAUAACAAGACGGCUUUGGGAUUGAGUUGACAGAAGGGCGAUGAUAAUGAUUGGUUGGGUGCAGAGUUAGGAAAUCACCAAAACAAAGUUGGUGAGUGCUCCAGGAGAACCUGCACCAGUCUGCAGGCAGCUGUUGAAGUGUUGUCGUCAUGGUUACGACAGCAUGUCUCUGAUUGGUGCUUUGAAAUUACCUUUUUGUGGUCAACAAUGAAGUGGGAAAUAUCUAUAGAUGCCGAUCACGACCAAACCUGCAGAGACCCAGACCUUAUCUCCACGCAGACCUGUAGACUCUGAGGGGCGUGUCCUGAUCGCACACUUUCAGCUCUGAAGGUUAUGAUGGCGUCAUGUGGCGUGUUGCAGCUUUCAUCAAUGCAGCUGUCUUGCAGCGAACGCCGGGCCUCAGACUGAAGUGGAGUUUGAGGUGAAUCUGAGUCGAUACAGACGGUUUAGAUUUCCGUCAGAUUUCACUCGUCGAGGGUCCGCUGUCACGUCUCACUUUAGAUUUUUCACAGUAACUCUGAAUCUCAUUAUCGCCGUCUCUUCUUCACCUUUCCACCCCUCUCUAACCGCCCUCUCUUCCUCCGUCUCUAUCAGCACUUCCUGUCUGUCUGGGUCCACUGCCGGCCACGUGGCCUCAUGGGAAACACAAUGUUCGCUCUCAGCCAAUCAGACUGAUCGUAUCUGACAUCUCCUGCCUGAGAACGCCGUGUUCCUCCGCCACUGUGUGUGUGUGUGUGUGUGUGUGUGUGUGUGUGUGUGUGUGUGUGUGUGUG
rnacentral:lncRNA from 1 species